rnacentral:lncRNA from 1 species
UUUGUUACGCAUGCAAAAAAAGAAUCAUUUUGCGGCGUGUUGCAGAAAGCGUCACGUUGACCAAGUGGAUCAUACACAAGAGGACGAUGAUAAUUUCAAUAUCUUGAAUAUCAGCGUGUGCGGCGUGGCGGAUGGUGUGGGAGCAGAUUGGACAGUGCGCGGCAAGAUAGGCGGCCAAGAAUUCAGAUUUAAAGUAGAUACUGGCUCACAAGCGAACCUACUACCUCUGUCCUUGUUCCGGCGUGCCAACCGAGCAACUGAGCCAAGAAAAAGCACUGCAGUUCUGACUGCAUAUAAUGGAAGCAUUAUCAAGCACGUGGGAGUAUCAACAGAAGUCCUGCAUUUAAACGGCCGAGAACGUCAGGUUGCAUUUUUCAUUGUGAAGAAAGGAAGCGCUGGCUAUAGUAUUUGCGUGCGAAAAGUUUCACCAGUUUGUCUAUGGCCGCAGGGUUCUUGUCGAAACUGAUCACAGGCCUCUGAUUGCCAUCGCCCAGAAAAGUGUUGCGGACAUGCCACCAAGACUGCAGCGAUUUUUCAUCCGUCUUUUCAAA